rnacentral:rRNA from 1 species
GUUUCCCAGUCACGAUAGGAUGGAAGGCUCUGGUUUGGUAAAGAUGGAAAUGGCGUUCCAAGAAUAAAAACAUAUUAUGCUACUGCGGGAAGAGGGGUCUGCGUACCAUUAGCUAGUAGGUGGGGUAAUGGCCUACCUAGGCAACGAUGGUUAGCGGGUCUGAGAGGAUGAUCCGCCACACUGGCACUGGAACACGGGCCAGACUCCUACGGGAGGCAGCAGUGAGGAAUAUUGCGCAAUGGGGGAAACCCUGACGCAGCGACGCCGCGUGAGUGAGGAAGGCCUUCGGGUCGUAAAGCUCUGUCAAAGGGAAAGAAGUGCAUGGUGGCUAAUACCUGCCAUGUUUGACGGUACCCUUAAAGGAAGCACCGGCUAACUCCGUGCCAGCAGCCGCGGUAAUACGGAGGGUGCAAGCGUUGUUCGGAAUCACUGGGCGUAAAGGGCGCGUAGGCGGUUUGAUAAGUCAGAUGUGAAAGCCCACGGCUUAACUGUGGAAGUGCAUUUGAAACUGUCAGACUUGAGUAUCAGAGGGGAAAGUGGAAUUCCCGGUGUAGAGGUGAAAUUCGUAGAUAUCGGGAGGAAUACCGGUGGCGAAGGCGACUUUCUGGCUGAAUACUGACGCUGAGGCGCGAAAGCGUGGGGAGCAAACAGGAUUAGAUACCCUGGUAGUCCACGCUGUAAACGAUGUCAACUAGAUGUAGGGGGUGUUGAUCCCCUCUGUGUCGCAGCUAACGCAUUAAGUUGACCGCCUGGGGAGUACGGUCGCAAGAUUAAAACUCAAAGGAAUUGACGGGGGCCCGCACAAGCGGUGGAGUAUGUGGUUUAAUUCGAUGCAACGCGAAGAACCUUACCUGGUCUUGACAUGCCGGGCCAUAUCGUGACUGGGAAAC